rnacentral:rRNA from 1 species
GACGAACGCUGGCGGCGUGCCUAAUACAUGCAAGUAGAACGCUGAAGGAGGAGCUUGCUUCUCUGGAUGAGUUGCGAACGGGUGAGUAACGCGUAGGUAACCUGCCUGGUAGCGGGGGAUAACUAUUGGAAACGAUAGCUAAUACCGCAUAAGAGUAGAUGUUGCAUGACAUUUGCUUAAAAGGUGCAAUUGCAUCACUACCAGAUGGACCUGCGUUGUAUUAGCUAGUUGGUGGGGUAACGGCUCACCAAGGCGACGAUACAUAGCCGACCUGAGAGGGUGAUAGGCCACACUGGGAAUUGGACACGGCCCAGACUCCUACGGGAGGCAGCAGUAGGGAAUCUUCGGCAAUGGACGGAAGUCUGACCGAGCAACGCCGCGUGAGUGAAGAAGGUUUUCGGAUCGUAAAGAUCUGUUGUAAGAGAAGAACGAGUGUGAGAGUGGAAAGUUCACACUGUGACGGUAUCUUACCAGAAAGGGACGGCUAACUACGUG